AUUGAACGCUGGCGGCAGGCCUAACACAUGCAAGUCGAGCGGAUGAGUGGAGCUUGCUCCAUGAUUCAGCGGCGGACGGGUGAGUAAUGCCUAGGAAUCUGCCUGGUAGUGGGGGACAACGUUUCGAAAGGAACGCUAAUACCGCAUACGUCCUACGGGAGAAAGUGGGGGAUCUUCGGACCUCACGCUAUCAGAUGAGACUAGGUCGGAUUAGCUAGUUGGUGAGGUAAAGGCUCACCAAGGCGACGGUCCGUAACUGGUCUGAGAGGAUGAUCAGUCACACUGGAACUGAGACACGGUCCAGACUCCUACGGGAGGCAGCAGUGGGGAAUAUUGGACAAUGGGCGAAAGCCUGAUCCAGCCAUGCCGCGUGUGUGAAGAAGGUCUUCGGAUUGUAAAGCACUUUAAGUUGGGAGGAAGGGCAGUAAGUUAAUACCUUGCUGUUUUGACGUUACCAACAGAAUAAGCACCGGCUAACUUCGUGCCAGCAGCCGCCGUAAUAC
rnacentral:rRNA from 1 species